AUACUUACCUAGCAGGGGAAAUACCAUGAUCACCAGAUCUCUUGUAGAGGUGGUUUUCCCAAGUUGAGGCCUGUCCCUUGUACUCUGGGUGUGCGGACCCCUGCUAGUUUCCCCAAAUGCAGGAAACUUGACUGCACAAUUUUGUGGCAAAGAUUUUCUUGCUU
rfam:Alligator mississippiensis ScZkoYb_279.2, whole genome shotgun sequence.